rnacentral:rRNA from 1 species
AAUACGACCGUACCGCAAACCGACACUGGUGCGCGAGAUGAGUAUUCUAAGGCGCUUGAGAGAACUCAGGAGAAGGAACUCGGCAAAUUGACACCGUAACUUCGGAAGAAGGUGUGCCCUAUUAGUGUGUAGUGAACAACGAAGCAUGAAUGGGUUGCAAAAAAUCGGUGGCUGCGACUGUUUAUUAAAAACACAGCACUCUGCAAACACGAAAGUGGACGUAUAGGGUGUGACGCCUGCCCGGUGCUGGAAGAUUAAAUGAUGGGGUGCAAGCUCUUGAUUGAAGUCCCAGUAAAUGGCGGCCGUAACUAUAACGGUCCUAAGGUAGCGAAAUUCCUUGUCGGGUAAGUUCCGACCUGCACGAAUGGCGUAACGAUGGCCACACUGUCUCCUCCUGAGACUCAGCGAAGUUGAAAUGUUUGUGAUGAUGCAAUCUCCCCGCGGAAAGACGGAAAGACCCCAUGAACCUUUACUGUAGCUUUGUAUUGGACUUUGAACAGAUCUGUGUAGGAUAGGUGGGAGGCUUUGAAGCAGGGUCGCUAGAUCUUAUGGAGCCAACGUUGAAAUACCACCCUGGUGUGUUUGAGGUUCUAACCUAGGUCCAUUAUCUGGAUCGGGGACAGUGCAUGGUAGGCAGUUUGACUGGGGCGGUCUCCUCCCAAAGCGUAACGGAGGAGUUCGAAGGUACGCUAGUUACAGUCGGACAUCGUGACGAUAGUGCAAUGGCAUAAGCGUGCUUAACUGCGAGACUGACAAGUCGAGCAGAUGCGAAAGCAGGACAUAGUGAUCCGGUGGUUCUGUAUGGAAGGGCCAUCGCUCAACGGAUAAAAGGUACUCUGGGGAUAACAGGCUGAUACCGCCCAAGAGUUCAUAUCGACGGCGGUGUUUGGCACCUCGAUGUCGGCUCAUCUCUUCCUGGGGCUGUAGCCGGUCCCAAGGGUAUGGCUGUUCGCCAUUUAAAGAGGUACGUGAGCUGGGUUUAAAACGUCGUGAGACAGUUUGGUCCCUAUCUUCCGUGGGCGCUGCAGAUUUGAGGAAGCCUGCUCCUAGUACGAGAGGACCGGAGUGGACACACCUCUGGUGUAUCGGUUGUCACGCCAGUGGCAUUGCCGAGUAGCUAAGUGUGGAAGAGAUAACCGCUGAAAGCAUCUGAGCGGGAAACUCGUUUCAAGAUGAGAUCUGCCAGGGCCUUGAGCCCCCUAAAGAGUCGUUCAAGACCAGGACGUUGAUAGGUCAGGUGUG